GUGGAUAUAACUCAAUGGAUGAAGUACUUCCCAUGCAAGCAUGAAGACCUGGGUUCAAUUCCCAGCACCCACA
rnacentral:tRNA from 1 species